AUUGAACGCUGGCGGCAUGCUUUACACAUGCAAGUCGGACGAGUGGCGAACGGGUGAGUAAUAUAUCGGAACGUACCGAGUGAUGGGGGAUAACUAAUCGAAAGAUUAGCUAAUACCGCAUAUUAUUCGAGCGGCCGAUAUCUGAUUAGCUAGUUGGUGGGGUAAAGGCCUACCAAGGCGACGAUCAGUAGCGGGUCUGAGAGGAUGAUCCGCCACACUGGGACUGAUACACGGCCCAGACUCCUACGUGAGGCAGCAGUGGGGAAUUUUGGACAAUGGGCGCAAGCCUGAUCCAGCCAUGCCGCGUGUCUGAAGAAGGCCUUCGGGUUGUAAAGUUCUUUCGGUAGCGAGGCGUGAACUACAGAAGAAGCACCGGCUAACUCCGUGCCAGCCGCCGCGGUAAUAC
rnacentral:rRNA from 1 species